rnacentral:rRNA from 1 species
GUCUGAAUUAUUCACCCAUGUCUUUUGCGCACUUCUUGUUUCCUGGGCGGGUUCGCCCGCCACCAGGACCAAACCAUAAACCUUUUUUGUAAUUGCAAUCAGCGUCAGUAAACAAUGUAAUUAUUACAACUUUCAACAACGGAUCUCUUGGUUCUGGCAUCGAUGAAGAACGCAGCGAAAUGCGAUACGUAGUGUGAAUUGCAGAAUUCAGUGAAUCAUCGAAUCUUUGAACGCACAUUGCGCCCUUUGGUAUUCCAAAGGGCAUGCCUGUUCGAGCGUCAUUUGUACCCUCAAGCUUUGCUUGGUGUUGGGCGUCUUGUCUCUCACGAGACUCGCCUUAAAAUCAUUGGCAGCCGACCUACUGGUUUCGGAGCGCAGCACAAUUCUUGCACUUUGAAUCAGCCUUGGUUGAGCAUCCAUCAAGACCCUAUUUUCUUAACUUUUGACCUCGGAUCAGGUAGGGAUACCCGCUGAACUUAAGCAUAU